rnacentral:rRNA from 1 species
CCCUUAGAUGUUCUGGGCUGCACGCGCGCUACACUGAUGCGCUCAACGAGUUUUAACCUUGCCUGGAAAGGUUGGGUAAUCUUUUUAAAACGCAUCGUGAUGGGGAUAGAUUAUUGCAAUUAUUAAUCUUCAACGAGGAAUUCCUAGUAAGCGCGAGUCAUCAGCUCGUGCUGAUUACGUCCCUGCCCUUUGUACACACCGCCCGUCGCUACUACCGAUUGGAUGGUUUAGCGAGAACUUUGGACCGGAGCUCGGGUGGUCAGCAAUGGCCGCCCGAGACAUACUGGGAAAUCGCUCCAGCUUGAUCAUCUAGAGGAAGUAAAAGUCGUAACA